rnacentral:rRNA from 1 species
UACGUAGGGUGCGAGCGUUAAUCGGAAUUACUGGGCGUAAAGCGUGCGCAGGCGGUUUUGUAAGCCAGAUGUGAAAUCCCCGGGCUUAACCUGGGAAUGGCAUUUGGGACUGCAAGGCUUGAGUGCGGCAGAGGAGACUGGAAUUCCUGGUGUAGCAGUGAAAUGCGUAGAUAUCAAGUGGAACACCAGUGGCGAAGGCGAGUCCCUGGACAACUCCUGACACUGAGGCACGAAAGCUAGGGGAGCAAACAGG